GGCGGCGCGGGGCGGGGCCGAGGUAGUGGCGGCGACGUGGCCGCGGAGUUCCGGCGUGUGGCAGUGGCUGCGUGAGCGUGAUGGAGUCCGGCUGCGGCGGGCUCCGGGGACUCUUCUGCGCAGGGGACAAGAGGAAGGCGGGGGCGUGCGUACGUCACUUUUAGGUAGCUUCCGCCUUGGCCCUUCGCGCUGCACCCCAGCAACCUGCGGCGGCCCGCGAAACCCCAAACCUCUUCUCCCGUUCUUGGAAGCAGAAAAUAUAGCGCGGAGAGGGGCCAGACACGGAACGUUUGACCACCUGGCGAAUGAGCCUUCCACUCUGCAGUGCAGCCUGUUGGAAUAAAUGCUCAACUUUCUGCCGAAUUACGGUUUUAAGUUUUGAAAACAUGGCGUGGUUUUGAAUGGUUGGGAGACAGUUUUUUCUUUUGAAAUUCAGCCUUUCACAUUGAUUAUUUCCUAACACGCACCAGACGCCAGGACCUACUCUUUCCCGCCGCAGCGAUGCCCUGGGGAAGUCACCCUAGGGGGAAAGGCUCUUGCUUGAAAUGGAGAUGAAAAAUGAACAUAGAUGCUUGCUACCUUACUGCGGGGCAGAAUGACCGAAAAUACUGAUGAAAAAUCUGGGAACAAAACAGUGGAUAUAGUUGACAAAACAGAAAAUCUGUUUCUGGACAGCUUUUGAUUAAUAAAUACAGAGAUAAUUAACGUAGACCACAUUUGCAUAAUGGUGUAACAAAAAUUGUAACAAAAAUAUGUAAAAAAAUUGCAUAAUGGUGAACAAUACAAAGUAUGGGGAAACUGCAGUUUGGAAACUGAAUUAAGAUUCUGAUUUUGGCAAGAUGGCUAAUGAUGAAUGGUUUUAUAGAGGAGAGGGAACUACCUCCCAUGCUUUUCUCUGAUUUUAAAUAUCUGUGAUGGUUGAUUGAUUCUGUCAAGUUGAAUAAGAGAAGCUCAACUAAAUUGACUCAGCAAUUCCACACCCUAAGGUGGGGAAGACCCACCCUAGAGCAGCUUGUCACCUGGAUGAUAUAAAGGGGAAAUGAAGAAGGUUCAAUCUGCUUCUGUUUCUUCUGAGGAGCUCCAGUCUUAGCCUUCACCUUGGAUGUCAUCUGACUUCCAGCACAGAUCCUUCAGCCUUCUGGUAUGGACACCAGCCUUCCAUCACAGGCCCAUUGGCUUUCCAAUAGAGACUUGCAUGGGACUCUGCUGUUAGCUCCAGACCUUCAACUGGAUUCAUUGGUCUCCAUUGUGCAGACAGACCUUCUGCAUUCUUCCACAUCCAACUCUGUGGGUGGCCACUGUAAGACAAUCUUGUAAAUUCUUUUAUACUUAUAUAUCUUGUAAUAUAUGUUUCUCUAGUAAACACUGAUACAAUACCUUUCAUCCUCAUAUUCUAAUAAAAUAAUUAAAACUCA